CCUUCAUUCUCCGUUAUCACCUACCAACGCCACGUUUGCAGAUACCGAGUACAGAGGUGAGCUUCGCUACGUGGAUAUGGCCCAAGUCUUUGUCAAGGACAUUUGGCGUUCUAUGUAAGAAGACGAAUAAGGGGAGGAGAGGGAGGAGGAAGAAUAAAACGGCGAAGAAUAAGCAGGAGAAGAAGAAAGGGAGAAGGAAUGAGAAGAUGAAGACAAAGAAGAAAAGGAGUAGUAGGAAGACGAGGAGCAUCAAAAGUUGUGCUUCAGCCAAUCACUGUACCACUGUCAACAGGCGAGAUCAACUGACUGAAUCGUUGCAACGAACACUUAAGAGCGAUAUAACAGCUCACCAGCUCUACAAAAACUGGCUUCUUUCUGGCGAGAUCUAUGACACGUGACAUCCUUCUUCGCCAGUCAGUACUCCAUUUUCUCUCGGAGUGUCUCAUGGAAUGUGCAAGGUUUCCUUUACUCUCCGUUAUCGCCUAUACAAGCGCCACGAUUACAGGACAUUGACAUUUUGUGUA